UACGUAGGGGGGCUAGCGUUGUCCGGAUUUAUUGGGCGUAAAGAGCGUGUAGGCGGCCAGGUAGGUCUGCUGUGAAAACUCGAGGCUUAACCUCGAGAUGUCGGCGGAAACCAUCUGGCUAGAGUCCGGAAGAGGAGAGUGGAAUUCCUGGUGUAGCGGUGAAAUGCGCAGAUAUCAGGAAGAACACCCGUGGCGAAGGCGGCUCUCUGGGACGGUACUGACGCUGAGACGCGAAAGCGUGGGGAGCGAACAGGAUUAG
rnacentral:rRNA from 1 species